GCCUAGCACAAGAGAGUUUGAAAUCCUUGGAGAAUUUUGGAAGCAAGUUCUCAAUGUCUCUUUUCCUGAGAGAACAAUCAAAGUCCAUGUUGCAAGAGCUCAAUCAUGUGCCAUUCCCUUAAGAGUCUGAAGGCUGUUGAGAUUGGGAAACCCUGCCCUGCUCCCUUCUCAAAUCCUGAGUGAUCCCACAGGAUGAGUGUCAGUGGGAGGAAGGAGCAUUUAGCUGUCAGUUUUAUUCCUGUGUGCAAUGCCAGAGUGUCCUUCCGUGUGCUCUGUGCAGCCCCAGAGAAGAGCAGAGAGGGAAGGGGCCGAGCCCAGGGCUGUGUCCUGGCGCUGAGCCUUGGGUGCAGCCUGAGGAUCUCCUACAGUGUCACAGGAGCUGUUCUGCCCUGCCUUUCUUUGCAGAUAACCCUGCUGGUGAAAGUGAUCUGGCUUCCCAACCCACGUUCAGGAUGGAGGCUCUGGGAGAUGCUGAGGAAAUGGACCAAACAUCUCUGCAGAAGGAGGCACAUCCCGGAGGAAGCAGUGGCUCAGUGCCAACCUCUGCUGCAGGAAGGAAGGCGAUGCCAGGCACGGCCACAGGCACAGGAGAUGCUGCCGGCCCCACAACACCUGUUCCCGAUGCCCAGAACAGCCUCAGAAGUGGUUGCUAUUGGGAAACACACUGUUUGCUACAGUUAAUUGCAGGUCUGCUUUUUUUGGAGCUUUCCUUCAUGUUCACCUGUGUUGGAAUCUGGUGUUACUGCAAGAGAAAACGGUGAGUGUUUUCAUCAUCUUUCCCUCAAACAGUUUCUUUUAAAAGUCUAAUGUAGAUGGGAAACAUUUCCAGUCAGGCUGCAGUGGAGCUGUGGCCAGUCCAUGGCUGUCCAAAGAACUCAGCUGAGGGUUCUGCUGUGCCCAGUGCUUUCCUUGGCCCCUUCAUUGCUGGGCCUUGUCCUGGGGCCCGCUGGGGCUGCAGCCAGUGCUGGCUCCCACUGAGGCUGCCUGGGCACGAGCAGCCCCAGGGGCACAGGGCAGAGGCACAGCAAGGUGGGGAGGAGAAAGAGCGGGGACGAGAUCGCCCCUGAAAGGCAGAGGCGCUCUGGGGCCCGCUCCUGGCCAGGGAGCCUGCCCAGAGCCGUCCCCUGCUCGCCGGGGCCUUGAGGGGCAGCUGUCCAGCUGGGCCAAGGUGUGCCAGCCGCUCCAGCCGUGCUGGGGAGCCCUGCCAGCUCUGGGCCCUGCUGUGCAGGAGGCUCCCUGUGUGCCGCUGGCAGCUGGGGCCUCAGCCACUCCUCUCUCCACAGCAGCGCCUCUGCAGCUUCACAAGACCAGAUGACUUCAGCCAUGCAGAUCUGUUCCUGUCAUCAGCCUUCCCCAAGCCAGUUUCCAACAUGCCUUCCACAGCUGCAUUACCCACUUACUGCUGGGGACAUGCUGCCACCACCCAUAACAGAACCCUCUGUCCCCAAAGGUGCUGGCCCUGGUGUCCAGCCAGGACAGGAGGUGCAGCCCUCCUGCCAGGGUAGGGCCUGACUCCAGCAGCAUCUUUGGGCUUCAGCUCUGGUCCCUGGGUGCUCCCACCAGCACUGGCAGAGCUGCUUGUCUGGGCACAGCCAGUGCUGGGCAGGCAGCAGCUGGGCUUCGGGCACCUGAGACCAGCAGCUACUGUGUUUAGUUUUCAUUUUGCAGGAUUUAGGAAUAUUUUUCAUAGAAAAUUCUCCAAAUAUUUUGUCCCUUUUCCCACAACAGUUCUAUAUUUUUCAAAGUAGUUUUAGUAUUCAGAAAAACUUAGAAUAUUUUUACACUUCUAGAAUAAAAAUAUAAAAUGCAUUGAAUUGCUAGUCUAUGCUCUACUAAAAACUAAGUCACUCUAUGACUCACAGCCUGCUUCAGAGGCUCUUUUCCCACCGGAGACUUGUGCCUAAUCACAACAACUAACCUAAAACCUUUUCCCUGAUGUUUUCUGGGAUUCCUGACAAGCUCACCUCUCAGUCUUCAGAGGCAAACCUUGAGCACAGCAGGAAUCUCUUCAAGUCACCAUCUUUGUUUGCUUCUGCACAAAGUGCCUCAGUCAUAGAGCAGGGGCUUUGCUCAGCUUCCUGCCGCCCUGCUCCCCCCAAGGCUGUCCUGAGCCCUCUGCUGCAGCUGCUGUGCUGCCAUGGAGCUGCUGUAAAACACAACAGCUCUGCCACACGCGCUCAGCAGGACUGGAGAAGCUUUCUGGCCUUGCUUACAUUAGGCUGGUGGCUUCUCUAAACACAAGUUGAGCUUUUGAACGCUAUGUCUCACCUGGCACAGGAACUGAUGCUGCCUUUCUCAUGGAGGCUAAACUCCCAUGGGCUUUAAAAGUUUUCUGGCCAGCAUAAGGCCUGGAAAACCAUUUAAUGCAGCCAUUUAGUAUUGAAAAUGGCCCAGUCUAUGUAUCAAAGUAGCUUGUUUAAAUGCUGGAGCCCACCAGAGCAUCCCUCCAGGGCAUAUCUGUCUCUCCCCCACCUCUGCCUCCAUGACUGCCAAACUGCACCUUUGAGAGUUCUCUUCUCCAGAAGCUGAAUGGCACCUUUUUAUUUGGGGGAGGAAAAAAAAAAAGGAAAUGUUCUAUGCUACUAUCAUCAUCAUCACAAUAAUGAGCUGCAAAUUAGUUAAAUGACAUCAACAACUCAGACUGUGGACUUAGUUCUCAGAGUGCAGCACUGGCUUUACUAUCCCUUGAAACUGCAGACGUGCUACAGUCUUUAAAAUCCGUUUCAUGCUUACCUAAUUUGGAGUCAAGCACAGCUCUGUGAGAGCUUUAGGGGUUGGGCCUACCCUGGCACUCUCGAGGUGUCUGGAGUGACCUGCCCAAGCCAUCUGCCACCUGAAGAGCAAAGCAGGGUAUGGAAAAGCACAGGCUGCAGAACAGCUCGAACUGCAGGGAGCCCAUUCCUGUCAGGAGUAACACGACCAUCCCACCUUAGGACUGGGUUUUGUGAGAAACAACUGCACACUUUAAAAGUUUUAAAACGUUUAUUAGACAUUUACAAAAACAUAAGAGAAGGACUCAUAAGGAAGAACAGGCCUGGGAAGGCCCCCUGCCCCAUGGCUGCUACCUGCCAGGUGGCUGCCUCAUCUUCAAGAUUGAUGCUUCACCUUUUACAUUCCUGGAGGGUGCAUCAGCCACCCCUGGGCCCUCCCAAAGUCUGUCAGUCAACCCUUCUUUGCCGUUUAUUGGUGGAAUUUAUUUCUUGUAGCUGCGUUUGAAGGUCAGGUGUUGUCAUGCCGUGUCCCCCCAGCAACAAGCUUUUCCAUUCCUACUCUCCCAUGCAAGGGGUAUAUGUCGAUACCUAUUGUGGUGGACCCCCACUGCAGGGAAUGACGUGCAUUGACUCCAUGUUUGCAGAAGGCUGAACAAAAGCUUUAUUAAGCUGUCCUAUAUUAUACUAUACUAAAAAC